rnacentral:rRNA from 1 species
AUUGAACGCUGGCGGCAGGCCUAACACAUGCAAGUCGAGCGAGCGGCGGACGGGUGAGUAAUGUCUGGGAAACUGCCUGAUGGAGGGGGAUAACUACUGGAAACGGUAGCUAAUACCGCAUACCAUCAGAUGUGCCCAGUUGGGAUGAGCUAGUAGGUGGGGUAAUGGCUCACCUAGGCGACGAUCCCUAGCUGGUCUGAGAGGAUGACCAGCCACACUGGUACUGAGACACGGUCCAGACGCCUACGGGAGGCAGCAGUGGGGAAUAUUGCACAAUGGGCGAAAGCCUGAUGCAGCCACGCCGCGUGAGUGAAGAAGGUCUUCGGGUUGUAAAGCACUUUCAGCGGGGAAGCGGUACUCGAAGAAGAAGCACCGGCUAACUCCGUGCCAGCAGCCGCGGUAAUAC